AAGUGUGAAGCAAACAUAUUGCAAUCAGUUUCGACCUGAUCUUAGAUAAUAAAAUUAUCCUCACUUU
rnacentral:tRNA from 1 species